rnacentral:rRNA from 1 species
GACGAACGCUGGCGGCGUGCUUAACACAUGCAAGUCGAACGGUAAGGCCCCUUCGGGGUACACGAGUGGCGAACGGGUGAGUAACACGUGAGCAACCUGCCCUUGACUCUGGAAUAACAGUUGGAAACAGCUGCUAAUACUGGAUAUUCAUCGUUCCCUUCCUGGGGGUGGUGGAAAGCUCCGGCGGUCAGGGAUGGGCUCGCGGCCUAUCAG